CAUUACUAUUGCUGAGACAAAAAAAAAAAAAAUGGAUAAGUCACUCACUGGAAGAUGAAUGUUUUUCUUUUCAUGGCAAAGGCUAGUAGUGACCAAAAAAUAAUUUUCACAUUUACCUUGUGGGAAUAGUCUGUAUCUCCAGCCAGGGAAGAACUGGAAUGGGAUCUUUCUGCUACACGACCAGCACAUGAGCUUCAUAAUAGAGGUUUGAAGCAUAAAAAUUAACCAGUGAGUUUUAAAAUUAAAGAGACAUAAUCCUCGUUACCUUCAAUGCCCAGCUCCAGAGACGGCUCCUCCUAGCUCCCGCUUCCAGCAUGGAGCUCUGGCCUCCAGCCACCUAAUGCGGUGGCGAGGUUAACACAAUAGGCCAGCGAGAGGGAGAACACGCCAGGGAGUGAGCUUUUAUUGGGGAACAAUAAAUUCAAGGGAAAAUUCCAUCCAAUGAAGGUCGAGGGGGGCAGCAUUCCAAGGUCAGGGUCAGUGAUUGGUCUUCAGGUCAGUGGUCAGGCACACCUCCACACGGACAAACCCUCGCACCUGGGACAGGGCGAGGAAGGCUCUGACAAAACUGUGUCUGAGCGCCUGUCACCCAGUCAGGAAGGUAACUCAAAUCACAUGCGAGAAUGGCUUCCCACAGAUCUUCAAAUUGAAAUAAUGCACACCUCACUCCAACGUCAUAAGCUCAGAAACUGAAAAUAGUUCUGUGAUUAAAGGAACUGGUUGGAGGCAUUGUGCUGCCUCCAAGGAAGGGCUGAUGGCCACUGCUUACCCUUAGAGUCUGUAAUCAAUGAAAUAAUGAAAACAACACAGAAGUAGUUAUCAACUGUAGAGUUACUUUCCUGAAAACUCUAUUCCUUGCUCCUUUCUUUAAAACAAAGGGGGGAAAAUGCU
rnacentral:lncRNA from 1 species